rnacentral:rRNA from 1 species
UAGUCGGUUCCUAAGGCGAGGCUGAAAAGCGUAGUCGAUGGGAAACAGGUUAAUAUUCCUGUACUUCUGGUUACUGCGAUGGAGGGACGGAGAAGGCUAGGCCAGCUUGGCGUUGGUUGUCCAAGUUUAAGGUGGUAGGCUGAAAUCUUAGGUAAAUCCGGGGUUUCAAGGCCGAGAGCUGAUGACGAGUCGUCUUUUAGAUGACGAAGUGGUUGAUGCCAUGCUUCCAAGAAAAGCUUCUAAGCUUCAGGUAACCAGGAACCGUACCCCAAACCGACACAGGUGGUCGGGUAGAGAAUACCAAGGCGCUUGAGAGAACUCGGGUGAAGGAACUAGGCAAAAUGGCACCGUAACUUCGGGAGAAGGUGCGCCGGCUAGGGUGAAGGAUUUACUCCGUAAGCUCUGGCUGGUCGAAGAUACCAGGCCGCUGCGACUGUUUAUUAAAAACACAGCACUCUGCAAACACGAAAGUGGACGUAUAGGGUGUGACGCCUGCCCGGUGCCGGAAGGUUAAUUGAUGGGGUUAGCGCAAGCGAAGCUCUUGAUCGAAGCCCCGGUAAACGGCGGCCGUAACUAUAACGGUCCUAAGGUAGCGAAAUUCCUUGUCGGGUAAGUUCCGACCUGCACGAAUGGCGUAACGAUGGCGGCGCUGUCUCCACCCGAGACUCAGUGAAAUUGAAAUCGCUGUGAAGAUGCAGUGUAUCCGCGGCUAGACGGAAAGACCCCGUGAACCUUUACUGUAGCUUUGCACUGGACUUUGAGCCUGCUUGUGUAGGAUAGGUGGGAGGCUUUGAAGCGUGGACGCCAGUUCGCGUGGAGCCAUCCUUGAAAUACCACCCUGGCAUGCUUGAGGUUCUAACUCUGGUCCGUGAUCCGGAUCGAGGACAGUGUAUGGUGGGCAGUUUGACUGGGGCGGUCUCCUCCUAAAGAGUAACGGAGGAGUACGAAGGUGCGCUCAGACCGGUCGGAAAUCGGUCGCAGAGUAUAAAGGCAAAAGCGCGCUUGACUGCGAGACAGACACGUCGAGCAGGUACGAAAGUAGGUCUUAGUGAUCCGGUGGUUCUGUAUGGAAGGGCCAUCGCUCAACGGAUAAAAGGUACUCCGGGGAUAACAGGCUGAUACCGCCCAAGAGUUCAUAUCGACGGCGGUGUUUGGCACCUCGAUGUCGGCUCAUCACAUCCUGGGGCUGAAGCCGGUCCCAAGGGUAUGGCUGUUCGCCAUUUAAAGUGGUACGCGAGCUGGGUUUAGAACGUCGUGAGACAGUUCGGUCCCUAUCUGCCGUGGACGUUUGAGAUUUGAGAGGGGCUGCUCCUAGUACGAGAGGACCGGAGUGGACGAACCUCUGGUGUUCCGGUUGUCACGCCAGUGGCAUUGCCGGGUAGCUAUGUUCGGAAAAGAUAACCGCUGAAAGCAUCUAAGCGGGAAACUUGCCUCAAGAUGAGAUCUCACUGGGAACUUGAUUCCCCUGAAGGGCCGUCGAAGACUACGACGUUGAUAGGCUGGGUGUGUAAGCGUUGUGAGGCGUUGAGCUAACCAGUACUAAUUGCCCGUGAGGCUUGACCAUAUAACACCCAAACA